GUUUGAUCAUGGCUCAGAACGAACGCUGGCGGCGUGCUUAACACAUGCAAGUCGGACGGAGUCAUAUUGUGUAGCAAUACAUGAUAUGACUUAGUGGCGGACGGGUGAGUAACACGUAGGUAACCAACCCUAAAGCGGGGGACAACCCAGGGAAACUUGGGCUAAUACCGCAUAAGACCACGGACUGGGAGGUUUGUGGUAAAAGGAGCAAUCCACUUUAGGAUGGGCCUGCGGCCUAUCAGGUAGUUGGCGGGGUAAAUGCCCACCAAGCCUAAGACGGGUAGCCGGACUGAGAGGUUGAACGGCCACACUGGAACUGAGAUACGGUCCAGACUCCUACGGGAGGCAGCAGUGGGGAAUUUUGCGCAAUGGGGGAAACCCUGACGCAGCGACGCCGCGUGGAGGAUGAAGGUUUUCGGAUUGUAAACUCCUUUUGUAGGGGAAAAUAAUGAUGGUACCCUAUGAAUAAGCCACGGCUAACUCUGUGCCAGCAGCCGCGGUAAGACAGAGGUGGCAAGCGUUGUUCGGAAUUACUGGGCUUAAAGGGCGCGUAGGUGGUGGCAUAAGUCCGAGGUGGAAGACUACAGCUUAACUGUAGAAUUGCCUUGGAAACUGUAUCACUUGAGUCAGCGAGGGGAUGGCGGAAUUCCAGGUGUAGCGGUGAAAUGCGUAGAUAUCUGGAGGAAGGCCGGUGGCGAAGGCGGCCAUCUGGCGCUGAACUGACACUGAGGCGCGAAAGCGUGGGGAGCAAACAGGAUUAGAUACCCUGGUAGUCCACGCCCUAAACGGUGGGUACUAGGUGUAGGGCUCGCAAGGGUUCUGUGCCGCAGGAAACCAUUAAGUACCCCGCCUGGGGAGUACGGCGCAAGGUUGAAACUCA
rnacentral:rRNA from 1 species